GUGUCAGCAGCCGCGGUAAUACAGAGGGUGCAAGCGUUGUUCGGAAUUAUUGGGCGUAAAGCGCGUGUAGGCGGUUUGGUAAGUCAGACGUGAAAGCCCUCGGCUUAACCGAGGAAGUGCAUCUGAUACUGCCUGACUUGAGUGUCGGAGGGGAUGGCGGAAUUCCCGGUGUAGAGGUGAAAUUCGUAGAUAUCGGGAGGAACACCUGUGGCGAAGGCGGCCAUCUGGAAGACAACUGACGCUGAGACGCGAAAGCGUGGGUAGCAAACAGGAUUAGAUACCCUUGUAGUCC
rnacentral:rRNA from 1 species